rnacentral:sRNA from 1 species
GAGAGAUUGCCUGGUGAGCCUAGAGGUGAAGAGCAGAUUGUCCCUCCAGGAAGGCAGCGAGCCAGGUCUUCCUCAGUGCCUCGGGAGGUGCUCCGACUGUCCCUGAGUUCAGAAUCUGAGCUGCCCUCCCUACCACUGUUCUCUGAGAAGAGCAAGACCACCAAGGACAGUCCACAGGCAGCUCGGGAUGGAAAGAGAGGGGUGGGCAGUGCUGGAUGGCCAGACAGGGUCACCUUCCGGGGCCAAUACACAGGUAGGUCAGGAGGGAGGGCCGGGAUGGGUGCAGCUCCUGGCGUCAGCGGGGGCUCCUCUGUUAUGAGAAGCCCUUUCCAUAUACCCAGUGGGCCAUUCAAAUAUCAUUUUCUAUCAGUUCUGUGAUACGAAAACCAGCAGGGAGCAUUGCCUCCAUGAAUCUCAGUGCACUUGUUCAUUCAUUCAUUCAUUCAUUCAUUCAGCAAACACUUUCUGACGCCUCCCCUUUGCCAGGGCCCAUGCUUGGUUCUGGGAAGUCUGUUCAGCUGGUCGAUCCUAAAGAAGUUCUGAUCACCUGCGCUUUUCCGGCUCGGAGCAUACAGGGUGGACACUGAAUUGGAUGUGCCAUUUGCACCUGGCUUCCUUCAGGUUCUCAUUUCCAGAGGGCCCCUGUGUCUCAGGAAACAGGACCUGGCACAGAGUAAAGACUUGAGAUGACACAUGGUAGCAUUUCAAGUGCUUAUAACAUUAACACAAAAAUAUGGGUUGGGUGUGGUGGCUCACACCUCUAAUCCCAGCACUUUGGGAGGCCGAGGUGGGAGAAUCACCUGAGAUCAGUAGUUCAAGACCAGCCUGGCCAAUGUGACAAAACCCCGUUUCUACUAAACAUGCAAAAAAAAUUAGCUGGGUGUGGUGGCGGGUGCCUGUAAUCCCGGCUAUUUGGGAGGCUGAGGCACAAGAAUCUCUUGAACCCAGGAGGCAGAGGUUGCAGUGAGCCAAGAUCAUGCCAUUGCACUCCAGCCUGGGUGACAGUGAGACUCUGUCUCAAAAAUACAUAAAUAUAUAUAUAUGGAUAUGGUUCUCACCUUCAUGAAUCUGCCUGUAGCAGAGAAGAUGAUAACCAAUAGGUAAUUAUAGUAAAGGCAUCAUCUCUCACAGACACCUUGCAGAAGAGGGAGGGCUGCUGACCUCAGAUUCUGGGGACAAGGCAAGAGGCCAGAGGCACAUUCUGCUCCAUGGAGCAUAACGAGGGAGUGGACAGAGGCCAAGGAGUUAGAAACGACAGUAGCAGGAACACCUCCAAGCUCACCGGACAAUCUCUCUGUGGACUUACUAGCAAAAGGAAAGAGAUGAUAUCAUUGGAUGAGGUUUUAUGUAGCCUUUAAAGGUGAUCUCGACCCUUAAAAGUGAGCUUAACCUGGAGAAAUGCUUCCAACACAAUGAGAGGAAGAGAAUAUAGAAGUCAAAACCAAAGACUCUGAAGUCAGUCUCACAGAAAAUGGCUCUGAGCCUCUCUGACCCUCAGAUUCCUCAUCUGUCGCGUCGGGAAAAUAAGAGCAAUUACAUUCAGCUCCACAUACACAAAGCCAGAACAGCACAGGAGGGAAAUGAGAUGAUGAGACCGCUCCACAGUGGCUUCAGGUGUCACCCAGAAGGCCUUAUUUGAAACUCAGGGGUGGGUAAGGCAGGAGGUGGUGGGGCUGGGUGAGGAGGCCACAGUCUGCCCAGCUUUCUCAUAACAUCAACUGCUUUCCAUCUACCAGGCACUGGGCGGAGCACGAUACAGAUACGGCCCCGUUCAGUUCUCCCAACAAGCCUGUGAAAUGGGCGCUAUGUUUAUCCCCAUGUUACAGCCACUCAGAACAUGGGGAGAAAAUACCACUGACCCCGUGCCCGAGCCAUUCAGAUCCAAACCAGCAAGUCGGGGUGUGGGGAAUAGCAUCACUUGUUCAUUUCUUAUUGUUGCUUUGCUUAUCGUUUCUUCCUGGCCUGCUUUCAAAUCCUGACUUAGCCUGGGUGUGUUGGUUGCUACUGGAUUCAGCUGGUUCUAGGAUCUGAGAUGAAACAGAAUAGGAGUCUGGAAAAAGCUUACAAUAAACAGACACAAAGAUGUUCGGUGACGUAUAUGUGUGUAUGUGUGUCAUACUUAAAUAUGUACAUAUUUUACACAUGAUGUGUGUAUGCACACUCACCGUGUGCACACGUGAGAGAGAGACAGAGACUAUUAAAACCAUUUGGAGGAAGAGGGGAUCAUUAUUCCAGAAUCCUCCUCUAUUUUGCAUCCAUCCACAGGGCUGAUACUGACAGUUCUGGUUUCUUUCCCCAGGCCACGAAUACCAUGUUCUGUCCCCUAAGGCGGUCCCAAAAGGCAAUGGCACAGUCUCCUGUCCCCACUGCCGGCCCAUUAGGACCCAGGAUGCGGGUGGUGCUGUCACAGGGGACCCACUGGGACCGCCUCCCGCUGAUACCCUUCAGUGUCCCCUGUGUGGUCAAGUUGGCUCUCCCCCAGAGGCAGAUGGUCCAGGCUCAGCCACCUCUGGGGCAGAGAAGGCCACCACGAGGAGAAAAGCACCUUCAACUCCCAGCCCCAAGCAGAGGAGCAAGCAGGCGGGGUCGUCGCCACGCCCGCCCCCCGGACUGUGGUAUCUGGCAACAGCGCCCCCAGCACCAGCCCCUCCGGCCUUUGCCUACAUCUCCUCGGUUCCCAUCAUGCCUUAUCCACCUGCCGCUGUGUACUAUGCGCCCGCAGGACCUACCUCAGCCCAACCAGCCACCAAGUGGCCGCCCACAGCCUCUCCCCCACCAGCCCGGAGACACCGGCACUCCAUCCAGCUCGACCUGGGCGACCUAGAGGAGCUCAACAAGGCCCUGAGCCGGGCCGUGCAGGCUGCCGAGAGCGUCCGCUCCACCACCAGGCAGAUGAGAAGCUCGCUGUCGGCCGACCUGCGCCAGGCUCACAGCCUGCGGGGCUCCUGCCUCUUCUGACUUCACUGGGGACCCAGAGGCAGAUGAGUGGGUGGGUGGGCAGGUGGCCUGCCAGGCCAGGAGUGGGGUGGAGCUGCUGAGGCCCAGAAGGCCUGCAUAGUUCCUCACCAGGAGGGUCUCCCUCCAGCACAGGCCCUGCCUGCUCAGUCCCUGUGCUUUCCAAGUGGAGGGGGUGUCAGCUCUGUCACCAAGAGAAGUGACUUCCCAGGAGCACCAGUCCCCUCACAGAGGUGCUGUGAGCGAGGCCUCCUUCGAUCCAGGCAGAACCUCAGGCAGUCUCUCCUGGUCCUGCAUGUGCGCAACUCCAGCUAAUAAUAGGUAUUUUAUAUACAGAUGGACAGAUAUUUUUUUAAACUGGGGAGUUUUCCUGAUCUUGGGUCCUCCUUAGGGGGCCAGACAAGAAAGGAAAGGCCUAUGGUUUCUGGAGCAAACCUGUCCCCCACCUGUGACCAGUCACUCUGGGGCAAGCAUCACUGGGAAGGGCAUAGCCGGAGACCUUUCUCCUAGUGACUGGUAGUCAGUGGGGCAUUUUAGGAUGUCAGGGCCCCAGGGUGACAUGUGUCCAGCUUUUCUAUGGCAGCAGAGGCCUUUCCCUCAGACAAGCUACAAAGUGCCCAGGAUGCCAUCCACCAUGGUCCCCUUCAGUACCUCACGCAUGGUCCCCAGCUUCUCCUAGGAUCCCAGUGGCAUUUAUCAGUGGCCAGCUACCUGCCAGGCCCGGGCUGGGGCACGGUCUGCGGCCAUGAAGCCAGGCUGCCUCCCGCACCCCUACCCCGUGGCAGCAGCAUACCUCUGCAUUUCUGGAAUGUGUGUGCAUCAAUGAUGUUUGUAUAUUUGAGGCAUUUAAAAAUCUAUUUUCGUUACGAGGGCAAAUGAAGAAUGAAUAUUGAUCUUAAAAAAAGAAAAGAAGACAAAAAAAAUACCCAAA